rnacentral:rRNA from 1 species
GACGAACGCUGGCGGCGCGCUUAACACAUGCAAGUCGAACGGAAAGGCCUGCUUUCCCUUGUGGAUUGCGGGUACUCGAGUGGCUAACGGGUGAGUAACACGUGAGUGAUCUGCCCCCAACUUGGGUAGAAGACUGGGAAACUGGGUCGAAUUCCCGAUAGGACUGCAGGGUGGUGCCGGUGGUGGAAAACGUUCUUCUAGUGGUUGGUGAUGAGCUGGCGGACUAUCAGCUUGGUGGUGGGGUAGUGGACUACCAAGGCGGCGACGGGUAGCCGGCCUGGGAGGGGGGACGGCGGCAUUGGGACAGGGACCCGGCCCCGACGCGUAGGGGCGGCAGGGGUGGGGACUAAUGGGGCGUGGGCGGGACGCUGAUGCGGCGACGCAGUGUGGGGGAUGACGGGCUUCGGGUUGUAAGCUCCUUUCGACGGAGAGGAGGCCACGUGGUUGGAAGGGUGGUGACGGUAGUGGUAGAAGAAGCACCGGCUAACUACGUG